UUUAACGUGAAUGAUAAUCAUCACUUUCAAACAUUACUCGACACAGUCUGAGCGGUUCUUUUUGAUUGCCUGCGUAGAAAUAUGUUCCUUCAUGACGGAACAACUUGAAAUGCAACGAGAAAUACUUUGUGGCAAUCAAUGUAUGCUUGAUUGUCAUUUGAUCGAAAAUUGAGUGUCAUUUGAUAGAAUAUUGAUGGUCAUUUGAUAGAAUAUUAAUGGUUAUUUGAUAGAAUAUUGAUGGUCAUUUGAUAGAAAAUUUAUGGUCAUUUAAUAGAAUAUUGAUGGUUAUUUGAUAGAAAAUUUAUGGUCAUUUAAUAGAAUAUUGAUGAUUAUUUGAUAGAAAAUUUAUGGUCAUUUGAUAGAAUAUUGAUGAUUAUUUGAUAGAAAAUUUAUUUUUCAUUUGAUAGAAUAUUGAUGGUCAUUUGAUAGAUUAUUAAUUGCUAACGAGGUAUUGCCUAACCAAGUCACGAGAAGCCCAAAGUAGUGAGAAUCAAUGGGUACGACGCUGGCUUGUGACGACUAUAAAGAGUCUGAGUUGCACGAAGGACGAAUAGCUGAAAAAUCCCCAGGGCGAAUAUCUACGAUUUGAUUGGGAGAAUUACUGGAAUAAAAUAUUGCUUUUAAAAUUGUCAAGUUUUAUUAAUGUAAAGAAAAUACGAGCACUUUUUUCACAAGUUUAAAAAAUUCUACAUCAAUGAAUGAUGCUACCACGACUUCGUGACACCUCUGCCACUGUUGUGUAAAUCCAGGGUAAGUUACACUGGCUUGUUUAUAUGAAAUAAUAUAAUUAUUCUCUAUGAGAAAUAUCGAUAAAAAAGGUGGGCGAAGACAUUAUUUAGGAAUAUUAUCAGGGGCAGGGUAGAGGGUAAGCAAUUGGGCGAUGUUGACCUCCCGCUCACCAAUAUUUAUGGCUGCACAGUCUACAUCACUAACACUGUCUACAUCACUAACACAGUCUACAUCACUAACACAGUCUACAUCACUAACACAGUCUACAUCACUAACACAGUCUACAUCACUAACACAGUCUACAUCAACACAGUUUAUAUCACCAACACAAUCUACAUCAUCAACACAGUCUACAUCACCAACACAGUUUUUAUCACCAACACAGUCUACAUCACCAACCUAAUUUACAUCACCAUUACAGUCCCUACAACACCAACACAGUCUACAUCACCAACAUAAUUUACGUUACCAACACAGUCUACAACACCAACACAGCUUACAUCACCAACAUAAUCUACAACACCAUGCAGUUUAUAUCACUAGCACAGUCUACAUCACCUACAUAAUCUACAACACCAACACAGUUUACAGCA